UACGGAGGAUGCAAGCGUUAUCCGGAUUUAUUGGGUUUAAAGGGUGCGCAGGCGGAAGAUUAAGCGUGAGGAGAAAUGCCACAGCUCAACUGUGGAACUGCCUCGCGAACUGGUUUUCUGGACUGCCCCUGCCGUGGGAGGAAUAUGUGGUGUAGCGGUGAAAUGCAUAGAGGUCACACAGAACACCGAUUGCGAAGGCAUCUCACGAAGGGGUGAUUGACGCUGAGGCACGAAAGCGUGGGGAUCAAAC
rnacentral:rRNA from 1 species